CUGAGGCCUUCAGCCAACAAUCAUGUGAGUUAGUCAUCUAGGAAGUGUAUCCUUCAACCUCAGUCAAACCCGCAGAUGGCUGUAGCCCCUGCUGACAUCCUCACUGCAACCCCAUCAGGUGGAGGUAGAGAAGAGGAAGAAGGACAGAAAAAGAGCUAUUGGUCCGCUCGUCGAAUUCAAAACUAAGAACUCAGCUGGUAAUGCCUAGGAGGCUAGAAGUUCCAGAUCAGUCUCCUUCUGCAUGAUUCUGGGCUAGAGUUGCUAAGAGAAGAAUUUGCCUGAAAUUUGGGAGCUGGAAGUGAAGCAGCCAUUACUCUUGGAAGUACUUUGCAGUUUGAUACACUGACAGACAGAAACAGAGGUUGUGGAAUAAUUCAAGUCUUCCCCAUUCUGGGACCCACGCUGAAGAGCAGCACUGCCUGAGGCUUGCUCCUUUUAUGAGAGAGGACAGAAUAAAAGAG
ensembl:lncRNA